CGUAAGUAAUCUACCUUCGAGUGGGGAAUAACGUUCGGAAACGAACGCUAAUACCGCAUAAUGCAGCGGCAUCAUAUGAUGACAGUUGUUAAAGCAUUUAUGCGCUUGAAGAGGAGCUUGCGGCAGAUUAGCUAGUUGGUAAGGUAAUGGCUUACCAAGGCAACGAUCUGUAUCCGGUCUAAGAGGACGGUCGGACACACUGACACUGAAUAACGGGUCAG
rnacentral:rRNA from 1 species